AAAACACAAGUGAACCAACGCCUGGUAAAUCUUCUGUCAGUAGAUUCCAUAAAGUGGAUACCUCAGGUAUGCAGGGUCGUUACGAUAAAAACAUAAAAUGUAGAAGGUCCAGUAACAACAACACUUUAAGGAAUGCUCCAGCAAUUUAUUGAGAUCGACAUGUUUCGGUGGCUAGGCCACCGUCAUCAGGAUAGAAAACAAUACAUAAAAUCAUGCUGAGGCUUAAAUAUGUAUAAAACUAUUUGUAAAUGUUCAUUAAGAAAUAAAUAUUCCUCAAUCUGAACUUGGAAUUGUUUUACAAUUGUCACUUUAUAGUUUACUAUGCUGUUUGUGUUUUGGUCAUUGUUGAAGGCCAUACAGAGACCUGUAGUUAACUUCUAUAUCAUUUGGUAAAAAAAAUUUGCGGUCGUAUAAAAAUUUACUUAAAUCUGAGUUCCAGAUUUUGUCCAAUGGACAAACCAGAUUUUUUUACAAUCAAAAGGUUGCUUCUUUUUAUCAAUCUCAACAACAGUGCAAGGUUUUGAGGAAAUCAAUCAAAGCAUACUGAAUAUUGUGAUAAGUGAAAAAUGUUGGAUUCAUGGACAAGUCCCAUAACUCACGAUUUACAAAAGUGAUAAUCAUGAAAAUUGGAAGGAUCUUACUUUGAUCAAUUCUAAUCCUAUGAUAAAUUUUCAGUAAAUGGCAUUACACCAAAGUUGAGUUAUUUUACAACAUUUGAGACAAUGUCAUUUUUUCUAUGAAUAAAGUCCUACAACUCUGUAACGAACAAAAUUGGAAAAUGUCAAAAUAGAAAGAAUGCUUUCUUCAAACAAUCUUAAUGCAGUGUUAAAAUUUCAUGAGAAUUGGUUACAGCAAUUUUAGUUAUGGUAUGAAGUGUUGUCAUACAGACAGAAGGACAGACUAAGGUAUACCAUAGUACAGCCGGUCUAAAACCUGCAUUUAAAAGAGAAAAUAACAGGUAAACUGUUUGAUAGGUUCUUCACAGAAAUAUUGCUUUAAUCUAAUGGGAUACAUGUAUUUACCUAAAUCUACAAUAGUAUAAAUUCUUGUGUCUGAAAUAUCAAAUAAAGAAAACAAAUCAUAAGCUCAAACUUUUAAUAUUCAGGUAGGCCAUGGAAUAACAAAACAAAUAUUAAAGGCAAUACCAUGCCAAUAAAUAACCAAACAAUGCUUACAAAUAUACAAAAUAACAUUGCUUCACAAUUCAGAUACACAUUAUUGCUACUCCAGAUAUUUAGUUCAAUAUCUUCUAAUAAUAUUGAUGAAAGAAUGUUCAAUGCCAUUCUAUAGUUGACUUCUAAUUUUGUAAAGUGUAUAAAUUAAUAAUCAGUUUUGGAAUUGAUAGUUCAGUCCAAAUUUACAGAAGAAACUUUUCAUUCAUUUCAAACUGUGAUACUUAUCUUACAUUUUUGCAAGCAAUCAUUUUGUGUUUAUCAUCAUGUCCAUGUUAACAUCGACAUCUUUCCAAUUUAUAAGUAAAAUAAUUUGUUAAUUCAUCUGUCAAUCUCUUUCUUGUUUUUAUAUAUGUAAUUAUAAAAAUAAAUAAUUUUAUAUUUGCCAAAAAUACUUCUCCUAAAUGCAAGUCAUAACAUGUAUUUCCAAAAAAUUUAAUAAAGUUCUCUUAAAGGUAAUAAAAUACUAAUUAAGAUAGAAAUAGUAAAUGAUUUCACUAUGCUUUACUGCUGCACCCAACUUGGCAGCAUAUGCACAGUGAAACUAGACUUUUCCAAAUAUACAAACUACACCCAAUUUGGCAGUUGUAUAAAAAGUUGUAAAUUUACAAUUCAAUCUUAUUGAACAUGCUAGAGUUUAUCAUGCUGUUUCAAAUAAAUCUUAAUGCUUACCCUUUCCCCCCAACCAAAUAAGACCAAAGAGAUCCUGCAGCAGGUCUAUGAACAAACCAACUUCAAUAUUCUUUGAAAUAUUCAUUGAAGAGACAUUUAAAAGGACUCUUAAAUUCAACGUCUUUUUUAAAAUUAUAAGCAAAAUCCAAUUGAGCAGAAAAAUUAUUGGGUAUCUCAAAGCUUUCUUCUCUCAAUUUUUGCAUCCCCUAUAUUUUUGAGAUGACAACCAGUUCCAUGACUGUUAUCAAAUUAGUCACAGAUAUCAGAUUUUUUGUCCUUUUAAUUAUUUUACAUGUAUAUACCGUAAUAAAAAAACACUAUGCUUUAUAUUACCAUAUAUCCAUUUCAUAUUAAACACAUAUAAACAAUUGACAAUAUAUAAUGCAAUGAUGGAUUAUUUUAAUUUGAUAACAAUGUAUAAAAUUAAUGUUUUGCUUAAUUAU